GAUGAAGAACGCAGCGAAAUGCGCUAAGUAAUGUGAAUUGCAGAAUUCAGUGAAUCAUCGAAUCUUUGAACGCACCUUGCGCCUUUUGGUAUUCCGAAAGGCACACCUGUUUGAGCGUCAUGAAUACCUCAAUCUCCAUCUUUUCUUCGGAUUGAUGGGUGACUUGGAUGUUGAGCCCUGCUGGUAUGCUAUAUCAGCUGGCUUUAAACUUAUUAGCCGGCUCUGUACUGGAUCGGUUUGACUCGACGUGAUAAUAUUAUCGUUGAGGAUGCAUGUCUCAUGCAGCCGGAAAGUAUCAAAGCAGCUUCUAGCUUGCCUUUAGUGCACUUUUACAUUUUAGACCUCAGAUCAGGUGGGACUACCCGCUGAACUUAAGCAUAUCAAUAAGCGGAGGA
rnacentral:misc_RNA from 1 species